UUACGGUGGAACACUACCGUUAAAAAACGUAGCCGUGAAACUGAGACUAAAACCUGCCGCCUACUUCCUGGAGGCUUUUGUUGGGUCUUGAAACUAGGAAUCUUUGCGGGUCAUCCUUAGGAUGCAGUCAGCAUAAAGACGUCGUGUUGAUGAUGCUGCCAGAAGGAGCCCGCAGUGUUCCCGUCGCAGGAACGUGGCUUCAGGGUCAUCAGCUGAGCCGUCUGACGGGCAGCACGUGCUCUGACGCACCUGCCCCCCACCUUCCUCCACGAAUGGACACCGUUAAUCCCAAGUCAGGCCGGCUGGGAUUCUGGCCACACAGGGGCAAGGCCUUCGUCAAAGAAGAACUGUCUCAAAGGGCAGCAAGCACCACGGUGCCCUCCUGUUCAGUGGAAACUUCAGACAAGCAGCCCUUCACUCUACUAAGGCAUACAGUCCUGGCGCAUCUUCGCGGGCCUGGGCACUGACUGUGUGAGCACUGAGACCAGGCCUGGAGGAGCCCCAAACUCUCUGCCUCCCGGAGCGUCCAGUCUGCACGCCAUUCCGGUUCUGCAGGUGUGGCUUCAGGCGAAUGUCCCCACCUGGACCACCUGUUCUGAACAUCAGAAUCGGAGACAAGUGAUUGCUUGAACUCAUCCAGGAAUCGAAGCGAUCCCUAUGACCUGUUUUCAAAGAUUUCAUUCAAGAAUACACUCGAAAAACAGAACAGUGGACCUCUUAAUUCUAAAAUGAGGAGGCGUGGAGUUCCCACUAGGGCACAGUGGGUUGAGAACCCCACUGCAGCGGCUCAGGUUGCUGGUGAAGCGUGGGUUCCAUUCCAGGCCUGGUGCAGCGGGUUAAAGGAUCUAACGUUGCCGCCCCGCUUGGAUUCAGUCCCUGGCCCCCCAGGAACUUCCAUAUGCCAGGGUGC
ensembl:lncRNA